UGUGCUGAUGAGCAGAGCAAUAGCAGAGCAAUAGUUAUGAGUCCCUGAGUGCUCAGCAGAGUUAAUGAGCCUGUGCACAGGUUGGGUGAGUGCUGUGCCCGAGCCGGCUCCUUUCAGCUGGGCUGGGGAGCUGAGCCGUGCCCCGGUGAUGCUGAAAGGUCCCAGGGCUGUUUUGAGGAGUACGCAGAGGAUGAUAAAACCAGCGCGGCUUCAACUGGAGAGGAGAUACAAGUCCCAAGCCUGCCAGUCAUCUGCACUGAGAUCCUGCCACCUUGUCGUCUCUGUUUCCUCUUUCUUCCAGAAGGAAGCAGCUGGAAAAAACAGAGGUCUCCAGAACCAAACUGUAGGUGAUGUCUCCAUCUCAAAGAAAGGGUUAUAUAUGUGUACAUUUGAGGGCUGAAGAAACCAGAGGUCUGCGCAUGUUUGUGAAGAUGCAGCACGUCUUUGGGAAAGUCUGUCUCCUUGCUGGAACAGCCCUCAAAACUCAUGGUGUUGGGGUAAAGAGUUGGGACAAGGGAUCAAGUUAGUCACGUCCAGUUUGGCAGCUGAUGCUCCAGCUAGGACUUCUUCUCCAGAGAUGUUGUCAUCUGGGCUUUUCCUCCCAGUGCCUCCCUGAUGGUCUGCUGGGCUUCUUGAGCAGCAGAAGGAGGAGAAGGAGGAGAUGGAGGAGGAAGAAGAGGAGAAGGAGGAGAGUGCUUGCUCUUCUGGGGAUUUUACAGCACCUGUGCCUGCUCCUUGAGCUUCCUACCACAUCCUUCUCUGUAGAAGGAUCUCACUCUCCGUGCUGCUGUCUGGUCUCAUUCUUCCCCCAUGGCUCCUACCUCACUCUUGGAAGAGAGGUCCUGCAUCUCCUACAGCUUUAAUUCAUCCACCUCUCACUGUGCAAGACACAAGAGCAA